UGCCUACGGGAGGCAGCAGUGAGGAAUAUUGGUCAAUGGGCGAGAGCCUGAACCAGCCAAGUCGCGUGAAGGAUGACGGCCCUAUGGGUUGUAAACUUCUUUUGUCAGGGAGUAAUUGGGUCCACGUGUGGGCUUAGCGAGAGUACCUGAAGAAAAAGCAUCGGCUAACUCCGUGCCAGCAGCCGCGGUAAUACGGAGGAUGCGAGCGUUAUCCGGAUUUAUUGGGUUUAAAGGGUGCGUAGGCGGAAUAUCAAGUCAGCGGUAAAAAUUCGGGGCUCAACCCCGUCGUGCCGUUGAAACUGAUG
rnacentral:rRNA from 1 species